AGAAGCGCCAUUAGGAAGAGUCACGCCACACGGAGCAAACCCACAACAAAGCCCUGUCAGGCCCAGGAGAAUAAUGAAAGGACCAGGAACCUCCAGCUAGUACCACGAUGGCCUUUGCAUUCUAAGAUGCCUGCAUGUGACAGAGAUGCAGUGAGUCUGUCCCCAUCCUGUUGUGUUUUCAGAGCUACAGACACCAUCUGAAUUCAAACCCUCUGACCGCCCACUUCCACAAUGAGGAGCAGCGCACUCACGUCCUUCUGCGUGUACUCAGUCCUUCUGGCACUGGUCUUGCUUGACAAGAUGUUACCACCAAUCUGGCAAGGGAACCGGAGAAUCGGAUCCCUUUGUUCAUUGCAGAAAAUCUCUUCCAUUUUCCUGAGUGACAGAGUCCUGUGGGAGAGAUCCCCGUCAGUGACUCUCCCAUGAAGCAGACGGAUGGUAAGUGCCCCGCCCUGGGCCUGACCUUGGUGAAGCUAGCUGGAUGUCCGUAUGCAUAGACCCUGGUGUUCCCGCUAAAGGUCUUCAUCAUUUACCUCGAGGACAGGCCCCUUAAUAGGAAAGUAUUGGAAAGGCUCCAUUUUAUACUGAA